AGUCGAACGAUGAUGCCCAGCUUGCUGGGUGGAUUAGUGGCGAACGGGUGAGUAACACGUGAGUAACCUGCCCCUGACUCUGGGAUAAGCGUUGGAAACGACGUCUAAUACUGGAUAUGAUCACUGGCCGCAUGGUCUGGUGGUGGAAAGAUUUUUUGGUUGGGGAUGGACUCGCGGCCUAUCAGCUUGUUGGUGAGGUAAUGGCUCACCAAGGCGACGACGGGUAGCCGGCCUGAGAGGGUGACCGGCCACACUGGGACUGAGACACGGCCCAGACUCCUACGGGAGGCAGCAGUGGGGAAUAUUGCACAAUGGGCGAAAGCCUGAUGCAGCAACGCCGCGUGAGGGAUGACGGCCUUCGGGUUGUAAACCUCUUUUAGUAGGGAAGAAGCGAAAGUGACGGUACCUGCAGAAAAAGCACCGGCUAACUACGUGCCAGCAGCCGCGGUAAUACGUAGGGUGCAAGCGUUGUCCGGAAUUAUUGGGCGUAAAGAGCUCGUAGGCGGUUUGUCGCGUCUGCUGUGAAAUCCCGAGGCUCAACCUCGGGCUUGCAGUGGGUACGGGCAGACUAGAGUGCGGUAGGGGAGAUUGGAAUUCCUGGUGUAGCGGUGGAAUGCGCAGAUAUCAGGAGGAACACCGAUGGCGAAGGCAGAUCUCUGGGCCGUAACUGACGCUGAGGAGCGAAAGCAUGGGGAGCGAACAGGAUUAGAUACCCUGGUAGUCCAUGCCG
rnacentral:rRNA from 1 species